UACGUAGGGUGCGAGCGUUAAUCGGAAUUACUGGGCGUAAAGCGUGCGCAGGCGGUUUUUUAAGCCAGAUGUGAAAUCCCCGGGCUUAACCUGGGAAUGGCAUUUGGGACUGCAAGGCUUGAGUGCGGCAGAGGAGACUGGAAUUCCUGGUGUAGCAGUGAAAUGCGUAGAUAUCAGGAGGAACACCGAUGGCGAAGGCAGCUCGCUGGGACGUUACUGACACUGAGGCGCGAAAGCGUGGGGAGCGAACAGG
rnacentral:rRNA from 1 species